CUGACUGAUAAUGAAUGAAGAUCUUAGGCUACUGGUUGUUUUCAACAGCUUAGUGAUGUCAUUUCCUGUUGCUGAUGAAAACUGAUAAAAUGACAGUGAAGUAAAGAAACAGCCAGGUUAUUAGUUUGCUUCUGCAUAUCAUGGGUCUGGAGUAUGUCGGGUUUGCCUUGCUUAUCAUUACGAAAUCUUUACAUGGAGUAAGCAUUAUUCAAAAUCCAACUUUACUUAUCAAGAAAGGUGGUGAAUCAGUGGAAAUUGUAUGUCAGCAUGAUGACACCUCUCAUUACUGCAUGUACUGGUACAGACAGAGAAGUUUGGGUGAAAUGGACAUGAUCACUAUGUCUUUUGGGAAAGAUAUGGCUCAAACAGUUGAACCAUACAAUGAGAGCAAAUACUCUAUGAUCCGUACUGAGGUGAAACACUCGACCCUGCAGCUCAAGGCACUAGAAGCGAAUGAUUCAGCUGUGUACUUCUGUGCAUCGAGUAGCACAGUGUUUUAGCUGAGCUACACAAAUGAGCAAUAACCUCAGCAUUCACGUCACUGAAGAGUCAA